GAUGAAUAACGUAGCGAAAUGCGAUAAGUAGUGUGAAUUGCAGAAUUCAGUGAAUCAUCGAAUCUUUGAACGCACAUUGCGCCCCUUGGUAUCCCGAGGGGCAUGCCUGUUCGAGCGUCAUUUCACCACUCAAGCCUGGCUUGGUGUUGGGCGACGUCCUCUUUGGGGACGCGCCUCGAAACGCUCGGCGGCGUGGCACCGGCUUUAAGCGUAGCAGAAUCUUUCGCUUUGGAAGUCGGGGCCCCGUCUGCCGGAAGACCUGCUCGCAAGGUUGACCUCGGAUCAGGCAGGGAUACCCGCUGAACUUAAGCAUAUCAAUAAGCGAGGA
rnacentral:misc_RNA from 1 species